CAGAUGCAGACAAAAGCUUGGUAGCCAUAUAGUCUUUGGAAUCUUUUCUUUAAUAAAACAAUAAUCAAAUGACUUACACCAGGACACAGAGCAGGAGACACAGGAAGAUAACAGGAGGAACCAAUGGGGAACAAAUGAAACCGGAUGAGCCAGAUUCUGGUCUGAUCUAUACAACCGUUAAUCAUUUUAAUCCAGAACCCUCUUAAGAGAAAGCUGUUCUACAUCCCCUCCAGCGCACCUGGUUCCUAUUUCAUUUUCCAUACCUGCCUUGAUUCCUUCAUUAUGCUGAUGCUGGUUCCAUGUCUUGGUCUCUUCGUGCCACUAUUGUAAGUCUUUAUUUUUCAUCACUAAAACUCUACACUUGUCCUCUCUGCCUCUGGUCUGCCUGCAUUUGGGUCCAA